AGUAAAAGUCGUAACAAGGUUUCCGUAGGUGAACCUGCGGAAGGAUCAUUACAGAAUGAAAAGUGCUUAACUGCAUUUUUUCUUACACAUGUGUUUUUCUUUUUUUGAAAACUUUGCUUUGGUAGGCCUUCUAUAUGGGGCCUGCCAGAGAUUAAACUCAACCAAAUUUUAUUUAAUGUCAACCGAUUAUUUAAUAGUCAAAACUUUCAACAACGGAUCUCUUGGUUCUCGCAUCGAUGAAGAACGCAGCGAAAUGCGAUAAGUAAUAUGAAUUGCAGAUAUUCGUGAAUCAUCGAAUCUUUGAACGCACAUUGCGCCCUUUGGUAUUCCAAAGGGCAUGCCUGUUUGAGCGUCAUUUCUCCCUCAAACCCUCGGGUUUGGUGUUGAGCGAUACGCUGGGUUUGCUUGAAAGAAAGGCGGAGUAUAAACUAAUGGAUAGGUUUUUUCCACUCAUUGGUACAAACUCCAAAACUUCUUCCAAAUUCGACCUCAAAUCAGGUAGGACUACCCGCUAACUAA
rnacentral:sRNA from 1 species